UGUGUGUUAAAAAAAAAACCUGGCCGUGAUCUGAGAGCAGAGGCAGAAGAGUAGAAGAGUGUGCGUGAGGAGGAGCGCAGUGCAGCUGGGGGAUUUUUUCUGGACAGUAGGGGGCUUCCCUCCGGCUCACGCUCAGGAUAAAGGCGCGAGGCAUCAAGAGCGAAAGUAAAAUGAGUGAAGAGCUCGAGGACAGCAGAUUGGGGGGGUGUGAACACAUCUGCUGAAAUACAGCGAGCUGGAUUCAGUGAACGCAGGCGGAUAAUUACAGCGGAACAGAGAGAGAGACAGAGAGAGAGAGCACGAGGCUGAAUGGAGCUGUGCGCUCAUCUGGAGGAAGAGCUGCUGCUGACUGUGUGGAGCAACUGGCUCACAGGACCAUGAGGAUAUGACCUUGGAUGGUUACCAAAAAGACGUGAUGCGCAACAAAACUUGGACAUGCUGGAUUUUUUUUGCUGGAUUUGUUUUGAGCCUGGGUGUUGCUCGGGAUUGCAAUUUUUUAUUUAAAAAUCACAUAACUGAUGAAUUGUUAUUGGAUCAUUGGUUUGAGAUCCGAUAUUUUCAGCACCCUGAUGAGACAGUCAAGGACGGCUAUACUCUUCUUUCCAUUGUUAACAUAAUGUGUACCAGCUUGAAGAAGUAUGGCCAUGACUAUGAUGACCUUGAAAAAAAUGAAAGUCGUAGACAGGUUACAGUGUCAUACAGAAUAUUAGUUAAUAAAAUUCUAAAUCUUGAAAGCAAAGACGACAUUCCGGCAGCCUGUGAGAGGCAUGCCUGCAACUACUCUUUCAGUAAAAGUUAUAUCAGCCCAGAUGAGCUGGAGAAAGAGUUUCGUAAAGAAUGUGCAUGGAAUGGAACAUUGCCAGCUUGUCCAUCGCCACAGAAUUCACCAACAUCUACUCCAUCUCAUACUACCACCCACCAAAGCACGAGAACAACGACAUCAUUGUCAUCACAACCCAGGAAUAUGACCUCCCCAUCUGCAUCUAACAAUACAAAGACACCUCCAGCAUAUCAGCCAACGUCUUCUACUAACGUCACAGAAAACAGUGGAAAUAUGCAAAAGAAUCAAGCAGAUCUGGAAAAAAACAACCUGGAAAAAAACAAAGAUAAUAUUUUCUUAUCAUUAUUGACUGUAUCCUGUACGGUCAAUGUUGCUUUGAUUAUCCUUGUGUUGUGGCAGUGCAGGAGCAGGCGUCCAAAUAAUCUUCAGGUAAGAUAUUUAUUUAAAUUCCUUACAUUUAUGUGUUUUUUUUGUGUGGAAGGUGACAUAGAGUACCAGUUGAAAGUCUGCAUUGUAGAUUAAUACUAAAGUCACUCAAACUAUGAAGAGAAUUGUAUACAAAAAAGUGUUAAAUAUUAUUUUACAACCUAUUUCAAUGUCCAUUGCUUCAUUUACAUGCACUGGUUUUGUUCAUAAGGACAAAAAAAAUCAGUAUGUCCAGUUGAGUUUGUCAUUGUCAUUGUGGUGAAGAUUUCGGUGAAAAUAGAUUGACUCAGGAGGAAGAUGGUGGCUUCCGUGGUAACAAGUUUCUCUGAACUUGUUCUACUUAAUCUUCUCUUUAUUUUCCUUAAAUAAACCACUGCUACUUGUUCA
ensembl:lncRNA